rnacentral:rRNA from 1 species
AUGUGUAUCCCAAAGUGUAAAGGCGGUAUGGGAUUUAGGGAUACCCAUUGCUUCAAUCUAGCAUUUUUAGCUAAACAGGCUUGGCAGCUCAUUGAUGAUCCUGAUUCUUUGUGUGUGCGUCGAUCCUCAAAAGUCAAAUAUUAUCAUGAUGGAGAUCUUUUGAAUGCUACCCUUAAGAACAAAUCUUCUUAUACAUUGCAAAGUAUAAUUGCGGGAGUGGACAAUUUUUAA